rnacentral:rRNA from 1 species
AGGUCACUGCUAUCGGGGUUCGAUUAAGCCAUGCGAGUCGAGAGGGUUCGGCCCCCGGCGUACUGCUCAGUAACACGUGGAUAACCUGCCCUGGGGAAGGGGAUAACCCCGGGAAACUGGGGAUAAUACCCUAUAGAUUACAGAUGCUGGAAUGCCCUGUAAUCCAAAGUUCCGACGCCCUAGGAUGGAUCUGCGGCCGAUUAGGUUGUUGUUGGGGUAAUGGCCCAACAAGCCCGUAAUCGGUACGGGUUGUGGGAGCAAGAGCCCGGAGUUGGAUUCUGAGACACGAAUCCAAGCCCUACGGGGCGCAGCAGGCGCGAAAACUUUACAAUGCGGGCAACCGUGAUAAGGGAACCUCGAGUGCCUGUAAAUGCAGGCUGUUCAGGUGCCUAAGACACACCUGAAGAAAGGGCCGGGCAAGACCGGUGCCAGCCGCCGCGGUAAUACCGGCGGCUCGAGUGGUGGCCGCUUUUAUUGGGCUUAAAGCGUUCGUAGCUGGGUUGGUUAGUCUCUUGGGAAAUCUGGCGGCUUAACCGUCAGGCGUCUAAGGGAUACUGGCAAUCUUGGAACCGGGAGAGGUGAGGGGUACUUCGGGGGUAGGA